GCCAAAGAUUAUAAUAAGAUUGAGCUCUAUAAGGUUAGUUACUACUUCAUUAUAAGUAGGUUGUAAAAUAUCUAAUUAACAACUUAUUUAUAUGGCUGAAAAAGCAACAGCAAUUAUCACCAUCAUUCCUCAACAAAACGACUUCCUUUGACAUGAAUUCCUUUUUAUUAAGAUUGAGUUGAACAAAUUACGUCACGUGGUAGCAGAUAUGAGCUGUCUUGGAAAGAGUUCAGAUCUGAGGAUGAGGAGAUAAAUGAAAUUAAAUAUGUUAUUGGUUCUUCCAUUUUUGAUUCAGAAGUUCAGGGCGGCUUGAGAUGGCCCAAUGACAAGGAUUCUUCAGGUGGUCGAUAUGUUGUUUUUGUUAUCGGUCACACAACUGCAAAAUCAUAUAGAAGUUCAUCAAUUAGAUUAAAGCUUCAGCAUGCAGAUCCAUUUGAUUUCAGAUAUUCUUCAACUAGUGCGUUACACAGGAGAUUUUCCUGAAAAUGCCUGGAAUUAUAUCAGAGUUACGAAAGCAAACAAUGGACGAAGAUCUGAUGUUUGAAAUGAUGGAAAACAACUUGAAGUUAAUAUGGGAUCUUUGUUUGUUGGAUGGAUCUUCAAGCUGACCAUGUUUUUUGCCCCUUCAGUCUUCAUUUUUAUCAUUUUUCUUUCAGUUUUGUUGGUAACAUUGGAUGACUUACUUGGAGCUGUUAAAGAAGAAUAAAGCUUCUUACUUGGAGCUUAUUAUUAAAAACCUUUUUCUACUUUUAUUCACUUUUAUUUGUCAACUUUGUCUAGCCCUACAAAAUAAUGAUCAACAUAUAUAAAUGACGCUAUAAAUCAUGAA